rfam:Hordeum vulgare subsp. vulgare, WGS project CAJW01000000 data, contig: morex_contig_46275
UAUAUACUCCCUUCAUUCUAAAAUUUUCGUCUUAAAUUUGUCUACAUAUGAAUGUAUCUACCCACGUUUUAGUAUUUUGAUACAUCUAUUUUUAUACAAACCUAAGACAAGAGUUUUGAAAUGAAAGGAGUAUUAU